GUAUGUAUAAAUAUAAGGGUAAACUAAAUUUACAAUAGCAUCAGUUAUAUAAUACGAUUUUUAUUUUUCUAUAUGUAUUAAUAAUAUGUACAAUUGUAGAAAUAUGUAAAAAUAUAUAAAAGAUUUUUGGAUUGUUCUGUAACAUUAGCUUUGCUAACUGCAUCAUUGCAUGUUUCGACGUCAAGAUUUGGUGUUAUUGAAUUGGUCAUAACAUUAUGAUUUGUAGUACUUUUAUUUUUAUUUUGAAUAGAUCUUGUUAACAUUCUAUGGCAUUUUAUUAAGGUUUUAUAAAUAAGGUUUUAUAAACUUUUACUAUUUACUUCCUGAAAAUCUUUUUCUUUCAUAAACUUCCUGUUUCUGAAUGUAAAAUAUAAUUUUUUUUGUUAUUAACAUAAUUUCAAUCAAAUACUAUUUUAUCCCAAAAUUUUAUUCUAAUGUAAGUGUCUGUUUAAACUUUCAUUUGAAAGUAACUCUAUGUAAGAUGUAGAUCCGUGUUUAUCAACUUUGUUCAUUAUCUCUAGCAAAUUUUGUAAUAAAAGGGCAGGAAGUUUCACAAUUGGCACACAUUCCAUAUUAUCUACAAAAAGAUUUGAAAACUUUAUAUUACACAUUACUUAUACAUUAUUCAUAUCAUUAAAAUUAUUGUAGCAUAUGUUGAAACAAGAGAUAAUAUGUAUUUUUAAGUCACUUAUAAUUUUAUUACUUUCAGUCUUAGUUUAAGUUGGCUAUGUAGUAUUGACAAUAAACUGAAUGUGUAUUUGUUUCUA